UACGUAGGUCCCGAGCGUUGUCCGGAUUUGUUGGGCGUAAAGCGAGCGCAGGUGGUUUAUUAAGUCUGGUGUAAAAGGCAGUGGCUCAACCAUUGUAUGCAUUGGAAACUGGUAGACUUGAGUGCAGGAGAGGAGAGUGGAAUUCCAUGUGUAGCGGUGAAAUGCGUAGAUAUAUGGAGGAACACCGGUGGCGAAAGCGGCUCUCUGGCCCGUAACUGACACUGAGGCUCGAAAGCGUGGGGAGCAAACAGG
rnacentral:rRNA from 1 species